rnacentral:tRNA from 1 species
AGCCCCGUAGUCUAGUGGCAAGGACAAUGGGCUUUGGACCCAUGAACAUCGGUUCGAAUCCGGUCGGGGCUA